UACAGAGGUCUCAAGCGUUGUUCGGAUUCAUUGGGCGUAAAGGGUGCGUAGGCGGCGCGGUAAGUCGGGUGUGAAAUUUCGAGGCUUAACUUCGAAACUGCAUUCGAUACUGCCGUGCUUGAGGACUGGAGAGGAGACUGGAAAUUUACGGUGUAGCGGUGAAAUGCGUAGAUAUCGUAAGGAAGACCAGUGGCGAAAGGCGGGUCUCUGGACAGUUCC
rnacentral:rRNA from 1 species